CUCCUAGGUAAGAUCGCACAUUCUAAAUUAAAUAAACAGUAUAUUACAUGCAGGCCAACCCUCCUAGAUGAAAUCUUGCUGGUGAAUGCCAUGCACACCUGAAAACGAGCAAAUUGUAACAGAUCUGCCAACAAGGUUAUUGUCAAGCCAAUAUCAUGUAUCUUAAGUUUUAAUUGAUUAUGAAUCCAUUGUUGGAAACAGUUUAUUGAUUACGCUAUGAAUCAAUGAGCUAACUAAAAGCGUUUUGCCUAUGUAAGUAUUGUAGGUAAUAGGAUGGUUUCGAGUGCAAUUUGGAUAAAACGUGCACGAAAGUGAAAGUUAAAAGUCUUAAAAGGACAGUUUAGAGUAGGGAAAAUAUAUGAAUCAAUGGUUGAAUUAAGUACAUCCAGAAAAUUAACACUGAUUUUAUUUUUUUUAUAGUAUAGAGUGGGACUAUUUUGACAGUUUAAAAUUUAAAAUUGCAGCCCUUAAUUUAUUUCACCUGCCAUAAAAAAUAUAGUUUGUCAGGGCGUAUUUCUCUAUUUCUAAUUUCUUAUUAACCGAGCGCGAGUCUUUACAGAGAAAUAUCGGACCGAGGUCUUUUUUAUGUAGACCGAGCCUGUAGGGCGAGGUUUGUACAAAAAGACUGAGAUCCGAUAUUUCUCUGUAAAGACCGAGCAAGCGAGGUUAAUAAAAAGUUUAUUAUAUGGC